GCCCGGUUAGCUCAGUCGGUAGAGCAUUCGGCUUUUAUCCACCCCUCACGGGGCAUAUGAGACCGAAAUGUCGGGGGUUCGAGCCCCCCAUUGGGCG
rnacentral:tRNA from 1 species